rnacentral:rRNA from 1 species
GGUUAAGCGACUAAGCGUACACGGUGGAUGCCCUGGCAGUCAGAGGCGAUGAAGGACGUGCUAAUCUGCGAUAAGCGUCGGUGAGGUGAUAUGAACCGUUAUAACCGGCGAUUUCCGAAUGGGGAAACCCAGUGUGUUUCGACACACUAUCAUUAACUGAAUCCAUAGGUUAAUGAGGCGAACCGGGGGAACUGAAACAUCUAAGUACCCCGAGGAAAAGAAAUCAACCGAGAUUCCCCCAGUAGCGGCGAGCGAACGGGGAGGAGCCCAGAGCCUGAAUCAGUGUGUGUGUUAGUGGAAGCGUCUGGAAAGGCGCGCGAUACAGGGUGACAGCCCCGUACACAAAAAUGCACAUAUUGUGAGCUCGAUGAGUAGGGCGGGACACGUGGUAUCCUGUCUGAAUAUGGGGGGACCAUCCUCCAAGGCUAAAUACUCCUGACUGACCGAUAGUGAACCAGUACCGUGAGGGAAAGGCGAAAAGAACCCCGGCGAGGGGAGUGAAAAAGAACCUGAAACCGUGUACGUACAAGCAGUGGGAGCCUCUUAAUGGGGUGACUGCGUACCUUUUGUAUAAUGGGUCAGCGACUUAUAUUCUGUAGCAAGGUUAACCGAAUAGGGGAGCCGAAGGGAAACCGAGUCUUAACUGGGCGUUAAGUUGCAGGGUAUAGACCCGAAACCCGGUGAUCUAGCCAUGGGCAGGUUGAAGGUUGGGUAACACUAACUGGAGGACCGAACCGACUAAUGUUGAAAAAUUAGCGGAUGACUUGUGGCUGGGGGUGAAAGGCCAAUCAAACCGGGAGAUAGCUGGUUCUCCCCGAAAGCUAUUUAGGUAGCGCCUCGUGAAUUCAUCUCCGGGGGUAGAGCACUGUUUCGGCAAGGGGGUCAUCCCGACUUACCAACCCGAUGCAAACUGCGAAUACCGGAGAAUGUUAUCACGGGA